GACAGCUUGGCCGAGUGGUUAAGGCGGCAGAUUUAAGUCAUACGCACCCUGUGCGUAGUAUACUUGGUCUCUGCUCUCGAAAGAGUCGUGAGUUCGAACCUCACAGCUGUCA
rfam:Magnaporthe oryzae 70-15 chromosome 4, whole genome shotgun sequence.